UACGUAGGGCGCGAGCGUUGUCCGGAUUUAUUGGGCGUAAAGAGCUCGUAGGUCGGUUUGUCGCGUCGGCUGUGAAAACUCGGGGCUCAACCCCGAGCCUGCAGUCGAUACGGGCAGACUAGAGUGCUGUAGGGGAGACUGGAAUUCCUGGUGUAGCGGUGAAAUGCGUAGAUAUCAGGAGGAACACCGGCGGUGUAGACGGCUUGCUAGACCACCCCUGACGCUGAGGCACGAAAGCGUGGGUAGCAAACAGG
rnacentral:rRNA from 1 species